AUAAUGAAAGGGAGAAAGAGAGGAAACGGCGAAAAUUUUGGAACGCACAUCACAAAUAAUUAUGUAUUGUGUGACAUAAUUCUUUUCAAUAUUUGGUGACAAUCUAAUUCUUUGUCUUUCUCUUUAAUUUCGUGCAAU
rnacentral:ribozyme from 14 species